AUUGAACGCUGGCGGCAGGCCUAACACAUGCAAGUCGAACGAGUGGCGGACGGGUGAGUAAUGUCUGGGAAACUGCCCGAUGGAGGGGGAUAACUGCUGGAAACGGUAGCUAAUACCGCAUACCAUCGGAUGUGCCGAGAUGGGAUUAGCUAGUAGGUGGGGUAACGGCGCACCAAGGCGACGAUCCCUAGCUGGUCUGCGAGGGUGACCAGCCACACUGGAACUGAGACACGGCCCAGACUCAUACGGGAGGCAGCAGUGGGGAAUAGUGCACAAUGGGCGAAAGCCUGAGGCAGCCAUGCCGCGUGUAUGAAGAAGGCUUUCGGGUUGUAAAGUACUUGCAGCGAGGAGGCGUUACUCGCAGAAGAAGCACCGGCUAACUCCGUGCCAGCAGCCGCGGUAAUUC
rnacentral:rRNA from 1 species